GGAUGCGAUCAUACCAGCACUAAAGCACCGGAUCCCAUUAGAACUCCGAAGUUAAGCGUGCUUGGGCGAGAGUAGUACUAGGAUGGGUGACCUCCUAGGAAGUCCUCGUGUUGCAUUCC
rnacentral:rRNA from 4 species